CGGGCUCCCAGUGGCUUUGGAUGGUAAGAAGGGAGGAAGCUGGGCCUUUACAUUGCUGAGUCACCUGGGCAGUGCCAACAGCCACCUCAGAGGAUGACGAUGGCAGUCCUCAGGGUCACUGCAGCACCUCACUUGAGAGACUGAGAUCAGUCAUUCCAAAAGCAUUUCCUGAGUGCCUGCUGUAUACCAAACACGUGGCAGUCAGGAGAAUCUGUCUAAGGUAAUGAGAUCAGAAGGGUGACGCGAGGAGCCAAGACUGAAGGAAGCCAGGAGAGAGGCACUACUGAGCUGGGUUGUCUGAGGAGGUGACAAAUGACUUAGAAACUCCUGGAGAAGUGGAACGUAACAGCUGGGGUGCCGCUCAGUGGCCAUGUGACCUAACAAGCUCCGUCCUAGACGUUUAUCCAAAAGAAAUGGAAAUAUCUGCUGAGAUACACAUAAGCAUCCCUACUGUCGGAGGAGGAGCUACAAGCUGUGUAAAUGCUGAGAUGACAGGAACAAGCUACCACACCUGGCUUCAAAUUGGACAUCAUUAAUGAAUAAUCCUACCAGUGGCCACUGAAGAGAAGGAAUUCUGCCUAAGGUUAGAAG
rnacentral:lncRNA from 1 species